UACGAAGGGGGCUAGCGUUGUUCGGAAUUACUGGGCGUAAAGGGCGCGUAGGCGGUUUUUGAAGUCGGGCGUGAAAGCCCUGGGCUCAACCCAGGAAUAGCGCUCGAUACUCUUGGACUUGAGUGCGGGAGAGGGUGGUGGAAUUCCCAGUGUAGAGGUGAAAUUCGUAGAUAUUGGGAAGAACACCAGUGGCGAAGGCGGCCACCUGGACCGUAACUGACGCUGAGGCGCGAAAGCGUGGGGAGCAAACAGG
rnacentral:rRNA from 1 species